AUAGUAUAAAAGGGCAAGUUCAAGACUGUUUAAGGGCUAGUCCAGUAGUGGCCAGCAUUGCUCACUUCUCUUCCCAACACUGCCCCAUACUGAGUUCCCCCCAAGGUUUUGCUUCUCUUCCUUCCAGUAACCAACAGCAGUGCAUGGCAUUGGGAAGCCAUGUGAGCAACAUGGCAUUACCCUGCUGGCUGCUACUGGCUCUGUCAUAUGGGCAGUUUUGGGGAGAGUGUGAAGAGGGGCAAAGAAGCAAGCCUGAGAGAGUCUGCAGAGAACAGCAACAAGAAAAGGAGGGGUCCAGAACGGGGCCAGGAGCUUGAGAAAUCCUUGCGGUACCAAGCAGCUGCUGAAGGGAGAGGAGUCAGUUCCUUAAAGGUAAAAUUACUGAAGGCAGAAACUAAGAAAGUCUGUAGAGGGUGGCAAUGAAUUUAGCUGCAGUCUUUGGGAAGAGCUGGAUCAGUGUGUCAGUGGUUGGCAGUUAAACUUGAAGAAACGGCAAGUCCCUGACCAGACAUCUAGUAUGAACUUCAACAAUGCCUGUAAGAGAGAACAGGUAAAGUCUGCUAAACAACCAGUGACUUAACUUAGGUGGAGAUUAGCAGGGUAUUUGGCUAAUGGUGUCAUUGGAGUAAGAAAUAGAGCAAGUCUAGAGACCUCUUUAAAGCAACAGUAACAUAAUUAAUGUAAAUGGAACAUCUUUAAGGCAAUCGUAAUAUAUUUAAAGUUAUUCUUAUAUAACUAACCUGCAAAUAAAUUAUAAUGUAUUUGACUUUCAGACUGUAGUCUCUUGGACUGUUCAUCUCAUACAGUAAAGUAUGUGAUAAAAGCUACACAAGGUAUUAUUUAUAUGAAACUAAAUGAUCGCAUCAGUGAGAUACAAGCAAUUAUGAUAGUAGGUACUUUUAAUCAAUGUAAUUUGUGGCAUAGAUUCUGCAUACAGUAAUAAAGUGAUGGGAUAAGUAAACCAUAGCAGGCCUCCCAUGACAGAUUGGUGGGUAAUGAUGCGAUUGUGAACCAGCCCAUCAUUGGUGCUAUUGGUGGUAAUCAUAGAAUCAUAGAAUCAUAGAGUUGGAAGAGACCACAAGGGCCAUCGAGUCCAACCCCCUGCCAAGCAGGAAACGCCAUCAGAGCACUCCUGACAUAUGGUUGUCAAGCCUCUGCUUAAAGACCUCCAAAGAAGGAGACUCCACCACACUCCUUGGCAGCAAAUUCCACUGUCGAACAGCUCUUACUGUCAGGAAGUUCUUCCUAAUGUUUAGGUGGAAUCUUCUUUCUUGUAGUUUGGAUCCAUUGCUCUGUGUCCGCUUCUCUGGAGCAGCAGAAAACAACCUUUCUCCCUCCUCUAUGUGACAUCUUUUUAUAUAUUUGAACAUGGCUAUCAUAUCACCCCUUAACCUCCUCUUCUCCAGGCUAAACAUGCCCAGCUCCCUUAGCCGUUCCUCAUAAGGCAUCGUUUCCAGGCCUUUGACCAUUUUGGUUGCCCUCCUCUGGACACGUUCCAGUUUGUCAGUGUCCUUCUUGAACUGUGGUGCCCAGAACUGGACACAGUACUCCAGGUGAGGUCUGACCAGAGCAGAAUACAGUGGCACUAUUACUUCCCUUGAUCUAGAUACUAUACUCCUAUUGAUGAGGCCCAGAAUUGCAUUGGCUUUUUUAGCUGCCGCGUCACACUGUUGGCUCAUGUCAAGUUUGUGGCAACCAAGACUCCUAGAUCCUUUUCACAUGUACUGCUCUCAAGCCAGGUGUCACCCAUCUUGUAUUUGUGCCUCUCAUUUUUUUGCCCAAGUGCAAUACUUUACAUUUCUCCCUGUUAAAAUUCAUCUUGUUUGUUUUGGCCCAGUUCUCUAAUCUGUCAAGGUCGUUUUGAAGUGUGAUCCUGUCCUCUGGGGUGUUAGCCACCCUCCCAGUUUGGUGUCAUCUGCAAAUUUGAUCAGGAUGCCCUUGAGUCCUUCAUCCAAGUCGUUGAUAAAGAUGCUGAAUAAGACCGGGCCCAAGACAGAACCCUGUGGCACCCCACUAGUCACUCUUCUCCAGGAUGAAGAGGAACCAUUGAUGAGCACCCUUUGGGUUCGGUCAACCCUUUGGGUAACCAUGAGACUGUAAGACCACAGGCAGUGGUGGACCCUGGGGCCUCAAAUUUCACUGGCACCCUGUGCAACACCAAAUUUCUGUGUCCCCUGCAUCUUGCCUUCCACUGUACAUUAUAGUUGUGGCGCCCCCGAGGCUCUGAACCCAGUGCGACUGAACCAGUUAUGCUGCCCUAAAUCCACCUCUGCCACAGCCCACAGCAAGUGUUAUCAAUUUAUCCAGGGGAGAUUAGUUGUUUAUUUAUCAGGACACCCCAUUAUUUUAUAACAUCAUUCAGUACCCAAAUAUGUCCAGUCUAAAUCCUGUUCUUAAACCAGGAUAAAAUCAAUUAUUGAAAUUUGCGGCCACAGGAUGUGAUGCCUAUGGGCUUAGAUGGCUUUAAAGAAGGUUAUAGAAAUUAAUGGAGGAUAGGUUGGUCAGUUGAUAUUGGUCCCAUGAUAGCUUGUUGAAAUCAUGUUCAGAGCAGUGAUGCAGCUAGGGCAGGACCACCCAGGGGGGGCACACUAUGGGACAGCAUGGGUAUUUUGGGCCCACUGGGGCUGAUGUUGUUCAUCACAUAAAAUUUCUUGUCAUUCUAAAACACGUGUUAUAGCUUGAGGAGACAUCUGGGCAUAUACAAAUACUCUGUUUCUUAUGAAUAAAUUACCAUUUUCUGCAACAAAAUAAUGCUUAUUUCCAGAUACUUGUGUUUAGCCUCAGGACAGCAGAAGCAAACUCCGUUUUAUUGUAGUGAUAAUCACAGUAUGUUUAAAAGGAGUGUAACAUGCAAAACUGCACAUGCUCACAGUAUUGUGUGUGUGUGUGUAGUGGGAUUGGCAAACCUUUGUUUGUUUUCUUUUAUCAGGACAGUAUAGGGAGUGCCGUGUAAAGCAUAGAAUGGCGGGUGGUGAGGAAGAGAGUAUGUAUUGUUUACUUUGCAUCAUGGGCACCUAAAAAGGGCUCUCCAUAAGAUCAUUGUCCAUAAUCUAGCUGCAUUGUGGGCCCAAGUGCAGGAAGCAUGGGGCCCUGGUGUGGGGCCAACCAAAGUAGAAAUGAGACUUAGGACAUCAGUAUUGAGUUGAAAUUGGCUGCCACUUGGAAAGGUGCUAUGGCCCAUUAGUCCCUGUAUGGACUCCUGGACAGAGACACCCCUUCCCGGAUCCCUUUAGUGGGGUCCCCAAUAGGAUAAAGAUGGGACCCAAUGCCUUAUCUGCCCAAAUUUGUGAAUGUUGGAUGAAAUGGAUCUAUGGUCUGAUUCAGCAGGACUCUUCUUAAUUUAUUUUGGAUCAGAAUGUAUGUGAUCCAGCACUGAUCUUUUAAUGCUAACUUAAAUUUUAGCAUAAUAUUAUUCACCCAUUUUUUUAUAUAAAACCCCCAUCAAUGAUUUAUUACACCAGAGGAUACUUCCAUGAUCAAACAAAAAUGUUAAAAACUCUCACAUACCCCAAACUGUUAGAAAUCACACCAUGAUCUGAAUCUGACAUACUGCGCCAUGUGUAAUAUCAGACUAAUGUAACAAAUCUCAGAAGUAGGGGAAUGGUGAGAGAAAUAAUAUCAUUCCACAUUUAGAACUCCCAUAUCUCUUUAUACUAUUAGUCUCUGCAGAACAGGAAGGGUUUCCUAAGGCAUUUGUUAUCUCUGAUAUAACCCUUGGCAUAAAAUUCAUUUCCCCUAUGAUGAUAUGUCCCAUCCAUUAAAUAUUUCUAAUCCAUUUGUCCAAAUCUUUAAUUUGUUGACAACACAUAUUAGGACAAUACUUUUAUUAGGCCAAUGAAAAGGACACAAAGCAUGUGUUUGAGUUUCCUAGAACUCUUCUUCAGGCUAAAUGGUAAAAAAUAUAUGCAAGGGUGUAUGUGUGAGAGAGAAAGAGAAAGAAACACACACAGAGAGAGAUGUCAAUCCAUCCUUGUCUGUGUCCAGUAAGAGUCUUAAGAUGGAGUGUAGGAGGGGGAAGUAGAUAUUCACAGGUUUCAGGCCUCCUGGGAAGGAAGGAAGGCACCCCUCAUCUCAAUAAAUACAGCCAACUAUCACUCAGCUCUGCCUCCAUUUUUAGGCAAAACAUGCAGGAGAACAGGAAUAGAUAGAAAAUUGAAUUUCUUAUCCAUCUGUCUUGAGACAGCUGUUGUGCAUAUGCAGAUGAUGCAUUCAUGAAUAGGAGUACAAGAGCAGAGAGAGGUUGCUGGCAUGGGGAAACCAAACAGGCAAUGCACAUCAGAUGAAGAUGUACCUGUCCCCUCUCUGUGUGUACAGUGAUACAACUUGAAACACAAUGGGGUGGGGGAAACAACCUUGCUGCAUUUUAAGCCACUAUUGUGUAGGUAGCCUUAGUAAGAGGCAGCUUCCUAUGUUCCCCAUGAUACAGGGGAAAUGCUGCUUUGUUCAAACACAUCUGGGAGCUUGAGAAAAUGGCUAACACAAAGGUCUCUCUAAACAACAACAAAAUUGCCUCCUGGUGAAGGGUAAGUAGAGAGGGGUCCAGCCUAGCCUCCUGUGGAGGGGAGUCCCACAAUCUGGGACCAGCCACUGAGAACGCCAUCCUUGUGUCCAAAUGUGUCUAUGAGGGUGGUGGGACUGAGAUAAGUACCUUCCCUGGAGAUCUCAAAACCCAAGCAGGCCCAUAAUCAGCACUUUGAGUUGUGCCUAGAAAUGGACCAAAAACCCGUGGAAUUGUUGUAACAAUGAGUUUCUGUUCCUCCUGUAACCGGCUCCAGUUAGCAGUCUGUUCACAGCAUCUUGAACCCAGUGAAGUUUCUGAACAUUUCCCAAAGGCAGCCUCACAUAGAGCACCUUGCAGUAAUCCAAACAACAUCCCUAUCUCACACAGGUACAGGUCCACUCCACUGCCAGUUCCAUUCAGACCAAGGAGGAGGCGCACUGCACAACUUUCAGCUGUGACCAAGAUGCUUCUAGCUACUCCUCUGCAGAGUUGCUAACCAGCAUUUGAACCCUGCAUGGGCUGACUGGUUGGCAAAUUCAUCUUUGUGGGAUCAGCUCCAUUAUGGAUACAGUUCAUUAAAGACUGUACAUGGGUCUGCAGGGCAGACUUUGGGCUUUCAAAUUUCAGUUGCACCCUGUGAGAGGAUAAAAUUUUAUGGCACCCUCCCUCUCUUAGCAUUGUUCUACAGCAUUGUUUUGGUGCCCCCUGCAGCAUGGUGGCCGGUGUGACCGCACCAGUUGUGCCACCUUAAAACUGCUUCUCCUCUCAAGGAGUACAAGGUGGGUAGAUGCUGUUUGAGGCAGUUAGUGGGGAGUGGGAUGAUCCAGGAAGGAGGCUUGCUAGGAUGUUCCCCUCAUGAACUGGGCCAGCAAACCAGCUGAUAGGGGUGGAGUGGGUAAGGAUUGAAGGCGCCAACCACUUUCACUAGUAUAGUAACUGGUGAGCAAAAAGCACAGUAAGAAAACCGGAUUUUCAGAAAAACAAUGGGGAAUCCUUCUUUAAGGUUGCUGUUGCUAUUUACUAUUUGUCAAUACACUCUGCAGUCUUGUGUUGCCUGGCUGACUUGGGACAUGUUUAUUUGGAAGCAGUGGCAGCAUCCAGUAAUGAGUGAUCCCCUUGAGCUUUUAUUGGCUAUGCCUCUGCCAAGUUAUCAAACUUUAGUGUUUUAAGCAUUGUUAAUUAGCUGUGUUUUCUGCAGUGAAGUAAAAGCAAUCUGUUAUUUUACAAAACAUGUUCGCUCAUGAAUUUGAACCUUCUUUACAGCACUGGUCUUCAACUAGUGGGUUGGGACCCACAAGUGGGUUGUGGCCUGAUCCAAGGUGGGUUGCAGCGGAAGUACUACCACCAUGCAGAUAUUUAGGAGGGGGAAAGGAAAUGGGUCCCCCAAAUGCAUGUUUAGGUUAAAAGUGGGUCUUGGGUCUGAAAAGGUUGACGAUAACCUGAAAUAUUGUUUGCAAAUCAAUCAAAUUACAUGCUAGUUUUGCAUCAUAUCACAUUAUAGCAGUUCCCCCCUUAAACACUACAUUGCUAUAUAUUACAUUACUCAUGCUUCACUGGGGUCAACGCUGUAAGCUUUAUGUGCCUGUCUUCAGUAUUUAUGAGGAUAUGGAACUGAGAUGCUGCAUUUUUUGCUGUGUUGGAACUGAGAUGAUUGAGUUGUUUUUAUUUCUUCUCCCUGGUUAACUAUUUCUAGGGGUUGAUGGGCAUCUUUCCCACAGAUUUCUGCCAUAUAACAAUGAGCCACUUUAUAUAUAAGCAGCACAGUUUUAAAAAAUGAUCUCCUUGGCAUGUUAUGCUGACUAUCUGGAGACUUCACAACUAACUAACAAAAGAAAUAAAAGUUCAGUUUGAAAGUCAUCUUCAUACCCCAUAUAUAUAUAACUACCACCUAGAGUGCUGGUACCACAAGCCUAUAAAAAAGUUGCUUGCUCUGUAAGUUAUUACAAAUUUUAAAACCCCCCAAUAUUCAUGAAUAUAUAUUUUAUUGGGAGAUGAGGGGAAUAGGAAGAGUUGGGGAAAUAGGAAGAGUUCAGAAAUAGAUAAAAUUGACAACAUCCUUAGAGAUGACGGUGCAAAUGUCCUAGGUCCUCAUAGUAGGGAUCCCAGUGUAUAAUUUCACAAUGAGAGAAUACAAAAUGAAAUGCCUGCUAUUUAAAGAGAACAUAAGAGAAAUUGCACAAUGGACAUUUGGGAAGGAUUUAAUGUAUAAGUGUUUAUAUGCUAAUUCUAGAAGCCUGAAAGCUACGGUAGGGCAACAGAUGGCACUAAUAGAGAGCAUAGAUACAGUGGACAUAUUAGAGACCUGGUGAACAAUGGGAUUCAGUUAUCCCUAAAAAAAAAUCUGUAGAAAGGAUAGGGAAGGGCAUAUUGGAGGUGAUGUUGCUGUAUCUUUUCAAAUAGGGCAUACAUUUCAAUAAACUUGGCAAUGUAAGAAAAACAACAUACGAUACAAUGUCACUGUAAGUGGAAAUGAUAGCCUCCAAAAAUAAGAUAGCAUUGGUGACAUACUCUCUGAUGCACACACCUCUGACAAAGCAAAUAAAUAAAUAAAUGGGAGGUCCAAACUGUUUGUGAUAGUCACUUUAAUUUUUUUCCCUUUUUACCAAAUGGAGCUGCAAUUCUACCAUGGAAGACCAGAAUCUUAUAUAGCUAUGAAUAUAUGUGUGCCUGUGUGUAAUUCUUAACCCUUUUCCUCUGGUAUUCUUUCUGACUGAAAAUCACCCCCCUCCCCCACAACACCAUUCUAGCUGCUUUUCCUUUUGCAAGAGAAAGUAGACAGUGCUGCAUAUUUUCCCCUCUGUGGAGAAAGCUGUAACUAAAACUGCUGGGGUGGGUGGGACUCAAUUACCUCUCUUUGGGACUUUAAAAACAAAACAAAAACAAAAAGUGGGACAUGGAAGAAGACAAAAUCAUAACAAAAUUAUGAAUAGUAUAGAGAAAGUGGAUACAGAUUCCCCACCCCCUGUUAUAAUACUAGAACUUAUCCAGUAACACUGAAUGGUUGGAAAUUUAGGACAGAGGAAAGUAUUUCUUCAUACAUUGCAUAAUUGAUUUAAGAAUUUGCUGCUGCAAGAUACAAAGGCCACUACUUAGAUGGCUUUAAAUGGACAUUAUACAUAUUAAUUGGAGGAUAGCAUUGUCAACAACUUUUAGCCACAAUUAUGGAACCUCUGUGUAAAGAGCGAAUACGUUCCAGGGGGACAAAUAACAUGGGAGGCCAUUGCCCUGCUUCUGGGCUUCUUGGAGGCAUCUGCCUCUCACCUGUUUGAAAUACAGUCCUGAACAAGAUGAUCUGAUCUGGCUUUUUAAUGAUUUUUAAGAUGUUCCAAUAAGCUGUUUUGAGGUUUAAAGAAAAAAGUCAUCUUACAUAGAAACUGCUAUCAUUUGAUCAAAAGUACUGUUGAAAUAGAAUGAUUCGACACUGAUCUUAUUAGCUGUUUGCCUAUUGAUGGAAUUCAGAAAGACAAAAGUGUUACUUCUGUAG